rnacentral:miRNA from 1 species
UGACCGGUGGCUACGGAGGAGA